UAAAGAUUCAUCGCUGAUAGAUAGGCAUGCGUUCCAUUAGGCAGUUGGCGGGGUAACGGCCCACCAAACCGACGAUGGAUAGGGGUUCUGAGAGGAAGGUCCCCCACAUUGGUACUGAGACACGGACCAAACUCCUACGGGAGGCAGCAGUGAGGAAUAUUGGUCAAUGGGCGUAAGCCUGAACCAGCCAAGUCGCGUGAGGGAUGAAGGUUCUAUGGAUCGUAAACCUCUUUUAUAAGGGAAUAAAGUGUGGGACGUGUCCUAUUUUGCAUGUACCUUAUGAAUAAGGAUCGGCUAACUCCGUGCCAGCAGCCGCGGUAAUACGGAGGAUCCGAGCGUUAUCCGGAUUUAUUGGGUUUAAAGGGUGCGUAGGCGGCCUUUUAAGUCAGCGGUGAAAGUCUGUGGCUCAACCAUAGAAUUGCCGUUGAAACUGGGGGGCUUGAGUAUGUUUGAGGCAGGCGGAAUGCGUGGUGUAGCGGUGAAAUGCUUAGAUAUCACGCAGAACCCCGAUUGCGAAGGCAGCCUGCCAAGCCAUGACUGACGCUGAUGCACGAAAGCGUGGGGAUCAAACAGGAUUAGAUACCCUGGUAGUCCACGCAGUAAACGAUGAUCACUAGCUGUUUGCGAUACAGUGUAA
rnacentral:rRNA from 1 species